GCGAUGUCCGAAUGGGGAAACCCAGUGCAAUCCGUUGCACUAUCGUUAACUGAAUACAUAGGUUAACGAGGCGAACCGGGGGAACUGAAACAUCUAAGUACCCCGAGGAAAAGAAAUCAACCGAGAUUCCCCCAGUAGCGGCGAGCGAACGGGGAGCAGCCCAGAGUCUGAAUCAGCUUGUGUGUUAGUGGAAGCGUCUGGAAAGUCGCACGGUACAGGGUGAAAGUCCCGUACACGAAAAUGCACAGGCUGUGAACUCGAAGAGUAGGGCGGGACACGUGGUAUCCUGUCUGAAUAUGGGGGGACCAUCCUCCAAGGCUAAAUACUCCUGACUGACCGAUAGUGAACCAGUACCGUGAGGGAAAGGCGAAAAGAACCCCGGCGAGGGGAGUGAAAAAGAACCUGAAACCGUGUACGUACAAGCAGUGGGAGCACCUUCGGGUGUGACUGCGUACCUUUUGUAUAAUGGGUCAGCGACUUAUAUUCUGUAGCAAGGUUAACCGUAUAGGGGAGCCGAAGGGAAACCGAGUCUUAACUGGGCGUUAAGUUGCAGGGUAUAGACCCGAAACCCGGUGAUCUAGCCAUGGGCAGGUUGAAGGUUGGGUAACACUAACUGGAGGACCGAACCGACUAAUGUUGAAAAAUUAGCGGAUGACCUGUGGCUGGGGGUGAAAGGCCAAUCAAACCGGGAGAUAGCUGGUUCUCCCCGAAAGCU
rnacentral:rRNA from 1 species